AUAUUAGUCUCUAGUUGUUGCUACCACACCCUGCAAACUUAGUACUUGAAACCAGCAUGGGAGUGUUGACUCACAGUCCUGGAUGUCAGAGACUGAAACCAGUGUCACUGGGCUAAAGUUGAGGCAGAGUCCCAGAGGAGACACACUACCACUACCUUAAGAGUGGGAUCACAGAGCCUUCCACACAGCUGUGGGCAGAUGACAGCUCAUGUAUCUGAGUGGGCUGUCAUCAACCUCUUCCCAUGCUUGUUGCUGCCUGUCACUUGGUAACUCUCCCUUGGAGAACUGCACAUUGUGUGGUGAAAAGCUCGAUGAAUUCCCAGCAUUCCUCUCCGUAGCAGCCGAGUUUUGUCAAGCUUGGGACUGGUGAUUGAUCGGGACACUUGGGAAAACUGCAACAAACCAGUCUUGACCACAUUUGUCUGCUGUGGCAUGUUCUGUUGCCGGCAGCUGGAGAUGCCGGGAUAAUAGGAAGAUGACAUCUGUAUCCGUUGAAAUGCCAUGACCAAAAGCAACUUAAGGAAAUUUACUUUGACUUAUGAUCCAUAACGGUAAUGAAUGCAUGGCGGGAGAUAGACAGUGUGGAAAGCUGAGGUUGUGUCUCAACCACACAGGGAGCAGAGAGAGGAAGAGGGAACCGAGACACAGCUAUACACUCUCAAAGCUCGCCCCUUGUCAUGGACUUCUGAGAGCAAAGCUCUACCAUCUAAAGGUUCUAUAACCUCCACAAACAGACUAUUAACUGAGAACUACCGAGUGUUCACAUACCCAUGUCUGUGGUAUUGUUUUAUGACUUACUGGGUGAUUUUCAGGGACAGUAUUCCCAAAAGUAUGUGAUUAGGAGACUCAGGCCAUACAUUAGCCAAUCUUGUGGUUUCUAAUUGUAGCAGGCUUUGGGACCCAGAAGGAAGGUCAUUCUCAGCUCAGUGUUCUUUGUUCUUGUAACUUGGUGCUCCUCUGGCUUUCUGUAUCUGGUGAUGGGUGGAUGUCACUGGUCUUGGUGUGAUUUUGGCUUUCUGUAUCUGGUGAUGGGUGGAUGUCACUGGUCUUGGUGCUCCUCUGGCUUUCUGUAUCUGGUGAUGGGUGGAUGUCACUGGUCUUGGUGUGAUUUUGGCUUUCUGUAUCUGGUGAUGGGUGGAUGUCACUGGUCUUGGUGCUCCUCUGGCUUUUUGUAUCUGGUGAUGGGUGGAUGGAUGUCUCUGUUUUGGGGGCUCAUGGUUGUUUUCUCUUGUUU